CUACGGGUGGCAGCAGUGAGGAAUUUUGCGCAAUGGGGGAAACCCUGACGCAGCAACGCCGCGUGAGUGAAGAAGGCCCUUGGGUCGUAAAGCUCUGUCAAUGGGGAAGAAGUUAUUUGGUGUUAAUAGCAUCAUUUAUUGACGGUACCCAUGAAGGAAGCACAGGCUAACUCCGUGCCAGCAGCCGCGGUAAUACGGGGGGUGCAAGCGUUAUUCGGAAUUAUUGGGCGUAAAGGGCACGCAGGCGGUCCUGUCAGUCAGAUGUGAAAGCCCGGGGCUCAACCCCGGACGUGCAGUUGAAACAGCAGGACUAGAGUACGGGAGAGGAAAGGGGAAUUCCUGGUGUAGAGGUGAAAUUCGUAGAUAUCAGGAGGAACACCGGUGGCGAAGGCGCCUUUCUGGACCGAUACUGACGCUGAGGUGCGAAGGCGUGGGUAGCGAACGGGAUUAGAUACCCCCGUAGUC
rnacentral:rRNA from 1 species